ensembl:lncRNA
AUCUCUUGCUGGAGAUCCCUGCCUACGUGAUGCCUUCUAAAGGCACAAAAUGGCUAAAAGGCAGCAAACCUUACUGAAUGAGAGCUUGUAACAGGCUUGUGAAAGCCUGCUAACCUGGACAAAGCUUGAAAAGGUUUUGCUUGCUUUCAAUGAGACUGAUGAGAUAAGUAGGACCAGAGCUUUUACUGAAUUGGAAAUCCAAAUGAGUGCCUGUCAGAACGGGACCCUCUACAUUUGAGCAGAAGUCAGCCUUUCAGCCAGCAGCACUCAGCCUCCUGGGCCACCUCGCAGAGGAACACUGAAUUCCCUCACACCCUCCUGGGCAGCACAACUAAUCGUUUUUGCAAUUUCUCAUAACAUUUCUGGAAUUCUUCAGAAGAGUCAUCAGUCUUUCACUUCUGCUCUACAUAAUUAAACUUCCUCGAGCCUGAAUUCCUUCAGUGUAGCACUUUCUGUUGACUUUUAGGUGUAUGUGUCUGAAAACAACACACUGAGUCCUUAGGUUUUGAGUUUUCACUGUACUACAGUGGGGUGAUGCACCUUAAAAACAGUCAGAACGUAUGUCUGUUCUCCAACAGUGAGGGUUGCAUCUUAAGUAAAUGCUUAGUCCAUCCUGGUCAAAAUAGGUCUUUGUCAUACAUUUGAUGCUGCUUUCAGAAUCAGGAAAAAAUGGUGAUGGUGCAGAAUCUGUCAGGUGCUCUGUUAAGACUAUGGCAUGUACCUUUGUGUCUGCUGUGUUAUUUCUCUCCUGUCUCCCAUUGUAUGCCUUAUUCACCCAGGCUCUGUUUAUCACUGUUAGGGCACGCCUUUUCUGACAGAUAAAUACACAGCAGGUAAAAGAUGGACCACAGAAAUAGAUGCUCUCAAACAUUAAAAAAAGCCACUGUUUACAGAUGAUAGUAGAUGGAUGCUCUCUGUUCAUUAUAUUGCAUUUAGUGCCUCAACUUGUUGUAAGCUCAACAACUUUCUCACAAGGAACCCUUCAUUUUUAUGUUUUCUUCCGUUUUUGUGCUUUGAAGGUGGUAUUGGAACAGUUAUUCCUUUACAAAGCAACAUUACAUUCCUUUGUAGUGAAGGCAAUUAAAGCUUAGUUCUGACC